UGAAGUAGCAACGAAAAUAAUUUUAUGGUUGCGUCACAACAUGAGGAACUGUAUUUAAAGGGCCAGAAGGUUGAGAACCACUGCUUUAGACCAUUCUAUUCAUGUGGAACCUAACAUUGUUCAAUCAUAAAAAUUUCUGAUAAAUAAUCUCAAUUGACAAUUUUCCUCUCCCCCUCUAGUCAAAUAAAAACUGAGCUUUAUGACCCUCCUUUUCACCUUGGGGAAGAAGGGCUGGAAAAAGACUCUACACUGAAAAGGCAGCCAUAUUUGCAAAUUUUCCCCUAGUGCAGAGAUAAGGGUUGUCCUGGGUUUUGUGAAACAUCACAAAAUGGCAAUCCCUGAACUGACUUUUCUCUAGGAACCACUGAGACCUACACCCUCUUUUGUUUGUUUCUGGUCCUCACAAACAAAGAACCUCAAUCACUAGGAAGACUUGGUUCUUUCCUUUAAUGUUAACAUUAAAGUGUCGUAUUUUUCUCUAAACGGUUUACAGACCUCUCUAAGCAGAUUCCCUAAGCAGUACAGUGAAGAGAAGCAGUCGCCUGGGUUUGCAAAGUGUUUUCUGAAGGUUUAUGCAAAUUUCUGCAGCAAAACUGUUUGUUCAGUUGCCGCAAUCCUCGGAUGUUAACAGAUUUUAGCCAAUUAGAAGAGCAUCUUCUGCACUCGUCACUGCAAGUCUCAUAAAAUACCAUGAUGGGCGGUUUCUAGCUACUAUAAAAAAGAAGGUGGGUUUGUUUCAAAUAGGUGAGGCCAUCCUGGAGAACAACAGAGGACGUACCAACUGACAUCUGAGAUGCACAUGGUAAGUUGGCUCAAAAUGGGCACACAAACAGAGAGAAGAGAAUACAAAUAAAUAUGGCACCUACUCAAAAAAAAAAAAAACACCAAAAACACCAAAAAAA